UUUGCUUGCAAUUAUCCCACCGAUGAAGUUAAUCGGUGUCCUCCAAUCAUCACCUCCGCAUUGCCCCCCUUAGACACCGUUUCAUAUCCUUUAUAAUCUAUAAAUUCACCGCUACAAUAUUGUCUUAUUCCAGAUGCGCACAGUAUAUCACGUUUCAUCUACCCUCUUCAUCUCAGAUAAGAAAUUAGGGUUCCUCAAAAUUUAGAUCUCCCAAAUUCCUUUCAAAUUUAAAGGGGUAAAUAUGAUGCUUAUCCAUUAUCGAAGGUUUUUUUUCUAUAUAUCUUAAUGUUUUACUAAAUUCUAUAACAUUAUAUUGGAUUCCUGUGUAUAUAUGCGAUCACAUAUGACUAUGAUGAUGAUAAUUGACUCGCUUCUGUUUUACGUUUAUUUUUUCCUAUUAUAUGCAUGAAUUCUACAAGAUAAUUUGUAAUAUUAUGUGGAUAUACAUGUAUUUAUAUAAUUUCCAUUUGGGUUUUUUUCUUAGAUUCUUCAUAGUUGAAGAAUUAAAAAUUGACAUAGUGGUUUUAAAAUUUGGUGCCCACCGGUGUUUGUGCUUAUGCUUCACUGAAUUUUGUUCAAAUGUAUGGUUUUCUAUAUUUUUUUAAAGUUUGUCAUUUGACAUAGUAGUUUUAGAUUUUGAUGCCUGCCAAGUGUUUGUGUUUAUGCUUCACUGGAUUUUAAUCAAAUAAAUGGUUUUCUGUAUUUUUUAUCGUUUGACAUAGUAGUUUUAGAUUUUGGUGCCCACCAAAUGUUUUUGUUUAUGCUUCACUGAAUUUAUUCAAAUGUAUGGUUCUUUAUAUUUCUUUAACAAAUAUUAUGAAUUGUGUUUGUUAAGGUCCAAAUUGAUAUUGAAAACAAUGAACAAAAUUGGGGCUAAUGUGUGAGUUUCAUAAAAUGUCCGUCAUGACCUCCGAUUUUUUACCUUAAGGCUCUGGCGACUUUGAUUUUGCAUUAAAUGACAAAAAUUUCUCUGAUCGUUCUCUAUGCUUGAUGGAGAGGGUUGUACGAGGCUAGCCUAUCCUAUCCGAUUGGGCUUGGAUUGUAAACGCCGAAGAGAAGAUAUUGAAAAGGAAAAUGGCAUAUUUACCAUGCCCCUAUUUGGAGGGAAGAACAAGGAGGAACUUGGAAGUGGCUUUACGGUUCUUCAUAGGCGUUGCAGGGACGUCCAUGUUACCGAUUGAAGACGAUGCGCCGAUGGAUGCGUAUGCCUACGCAGGGAGUGCCGCGGGGGUAGACCUCACAAUAAUGGCGCCCCUGUCUUCCGGUAAGAUCCGAUGCAAACAGGGAAUAGUUGUAAGGAUAUAAAUGAAUUAGUAUGUGUAUUGAGAAUGCAAGUGAACGAAAAAAAAUAAAAAAAGUUUGGAAAUAUAGAGUUUUUUUUUUUUUUUUU